rnacentral:lncRNA from 10 species
AACUGAAAUCAAAAUCAUAAAGAAAACAAGAUUAAUGAGUGACUAUAUUAAAAUUUAAAACUGUGACCAAAAUAAAUCAUUGAAAUAAAAAGAUAGCACAGAUUGGAAGAGCACAUUAGCGAUGCAUAUAACUGACAAAAUAUUCAUAUCCACAGUCUAUGGAGAACUUCCCAUUUUUCUGCACUGUUCCAAAGGAGUAUAACCUCUAGAAGUGGUUGGACACCUGUUUAAAACCAUUGGUUUGUUCUG